GAUGAAGAACGUAGCGAAAUGCGAUACUUGGUGUGAAUUGCAGAAUCCCGUGAACCAUCGAGUCUUUGAACGCAAGUUGCGCCCGAAGCCACUAGGCCGAGGGCACGCCUGCCUGGGCGUCACACGCCGUUGCCCCCCCAUCUACUCCUUCGGGAUUGCGGGGGGGCGGAUGAUGGCCUCCUGUGCGCCUAGCCGCGCGGUUGGCAUAAAUACCAAGUCCUCGGCGACGCACGCCACGACAAUCGGUGGUUGCGAAACCUCGGUUGCCCGUCGUGUGCGUUAGUCGCGCAUCGAGGGCUCGAAAAAAUGCUCGGCUCCGGCUGGGCUUUCAACGCGACCCCAGGUCAGGCGGGGUUACCCGCUGAAUUUAAGCAUAUCAAUAAGCGGAGGA
rnacentral:misc_RNA from 1 species